rnacentral:rRNA from 1 species
UACGUAGGGGGCAAGCGUUGUCCGGAUUUAUUGGGCGUAAAGAGCGUGUAGGCGGCUUGGUAGGUCCGCUGUGAAAACUCGAGGCUCAACCUCGAGAUGUCGGCGGAAACCACUUGGCUAGAGUCCGGAAGAGGAGAGUGGAAUUCCUGGUGUAGCGGUGAAAUGCGCAGAUAUCAGGAAGAACACCUAUGGCGAAGGCAGCUCUCUGGGACGGUACUGACGCUGAGACGCGAAAAGCUAGGGGGAGCGAACAGG